rnacentral:rRNA from 1 species
GACGAACGCUGGCGGCGUGCCUAAUACAUGCAAGUCGAACGCAUUUUCUUUCACCGUAGCUUGCUACACCGAAAGAAAAUGAGUGGCGAACGGGUGAGUAACACGUGGGUAACCUGCCCAUCAGCGGGGGAUAACACUUGGAAACAGGUGCUAAUACCGCAUAAUUCCAUUUACCGCAUGGUAGAUGGAUGAAAGGCGCUUUUGCGUCACUGAUGGAUGGACCCGCGGUGCAUUAGCUAGUUGGUGGGGUAACGGCCUACCAAGGCUGCGAUGCAUAGCCGACCUGAGAGGGUGAUCGGCCACACUGGGACUGAGACACGGCCCAGACUCCUACGGGAGGCAGCAGUAGGGAAUCUUCGGCAAUGGACGCAAGUCUGACCGAGCAACGCCGCGUGAGGGAAGAAGGGUUUCGGAUCGGAAAACUCUGUUGUUAGGGAAGAACAAGGAUGAGAGUGGAAAGUUCAUCCCUUGACGGUAUCUAACCAGAAAGCCACGGCUAACUACGUG